CAGGCUGGUACUGAAGAGUGUCUGCAAGAGUCCUGUGAUGUAAUCCAUCUUCAGAUCUCUCAGCCAUGGAUACCAGCUUCUGCUCUGCUGGUGGUAGCAGGGAGGUUUGGGGACUGGAACAGAUCCACUACUGGCCUCCUUGCUCCUCAACUUGUAGACAGCCUGCCUAUCGUGGGACUUCACCUUGUGAUCCUGAGACCUCCAGCCUUUUAUCGGGGAAACUGUGAAUUGGGGAAAGGGAAAUCAUCAGACCUUUCAAGGAUUACUGGACACUGGCUCUGAGCUGACAUUAAUUCCUGGGGACCCAAAAGAUGUCACACUGGUUUAUUACACUGAUGACAUUAUGCUGAUUGGACCCAGUGAGCAAGAAGUAGCAAACACACUGGACUUACUGGACUUCCAGUAUGAUGCUGAAAGGGUUUGGUGAGAUGACAAAACAUUUUUGAAAGAAAUGAAUGAAGACCUAUAUGUAUGAAGGAGUGCACCAUGGUCAUGUUUUUCAAGGCAAUCCCUACUCACUGGAGCUACCACUGCUGCAAUUGUUAUAAUAUACAUUUGUUUUGCCUCACUAUGAAUCUGUUAUUAAUAGAAUUAAACAAUAUGUAUACUUUUGUGUCUGACUUAUUUCACUGAAAAUAAAGUUUUUGAGAUGCAUCCAUGCUAUGUAUUAUAUCAGUAUUUUAUUUUGCUUAAUUGAUAAGUAGUGCCCAUUG
rnacentral:lncRNA from 1 species